AGAUUGAUCGCGGUUAUUAUAAGAUUGCGAACAAGUUGUGUGCCAUAUACGUGUAAAUAUGAACGCGCCGUUCCGUCGUAAAUCAAACUUUUUUGCAGCGGCCGCGCACUCCUUAUAUCUUCGUGAAUCGAGUCAACAUCAAUCCAUUUUCGUUGGCGAAUUUUUAACUUUUUCUCGGUUCAGACGGUCGUCGGCUGGUGGUAUCAAUCAUAAUUGGUCUGUUUUUGCGUUUUCGAGAAUCGGCGAGCUGCGUGCACGCACGUCUGCGACGGGGGCGGGGCGGUGGCCGGCGGGGGGGUGUCACUGUGCAAAUGCACUCGUAAACCCGGCGCGAGGUCAACGCACCCCCUCUCCGCGCGUCCACGACGCCCGCGCACCCCGUCCCUAUAAAACCUUAUAUAACUACGUUUUGAUAUCCUGAGCCCUGAUGACCCAUUUGAAAGAGCGUGCAAAUCGAUUACCCUCGCGUCACUAUCUCGCGUUCUUCUUCGGGCUCUGAAACUUCCAACAAUGCUCAGUUUUCAAUUAUUAAAUUUAUGUAUUAAUGAUAUAGUUACUUAUAAUAAAUGAUAUUAUAAUUA